rnacentral:lncRNA from 1 species
GCUAUUUCUUUGGGCUGCUCCCACGGCAUAUGGAGGUUCCCAGGCUAGGGGUCUAAUCGGAGCUGUAGCCACUGGCCUACGCCAGAGCCACAGCAACGCGGGAUCCGAGCCGCGUCUGCAACCUAUACCACAGCUCACGGCAACGCCGGAUCAUUAACCCACUGAGCAAGGGUAGGGACCGAACCCGCGACCUCAUGGUUCCUAGUCGGAUUCGUUAACCACUGCGCCACGACGGGAACUCCCGGUUUUUAUAUUUUUUUAAUGCCUAGCAAAAAACAAAAAAUCAAAAGAAUAAUAUCUUGUGACACAGGAAGAGUAUAUGAAAUUCAAAUUUCAGUAUGUGUAAACAGUCUUGAUGGAACACCGCCAUGCUUGUUCACUGAUGUGGUGCCUAUGGCUCCUUCAAGCCACAAUGCAAUGAGAAGGUACAGAUGCAAUAUAUUUGGUCCAGAAAGCCAAAACCUCUACCUGCUCUUUACAGAAAAAGUUUGCCGACACCUGCUUUAAUUCACCCACAAAUUUCAGGAAAACAGUUCCAAAUAACCUAAAGGCCUACUGGGAAAGUAUGAAAUAAAAGCUCUUCUUCACCAUCUAUAUAGACUCCCUUCUCAGAUAGCACAGCAAAAAUGGCACAAUGGACAGAAAGUUCCCAGAAAAUCUUUUAAGUUUGCUGACUUGGUAGCCAAGUUGUCCCACCCACCCCCCUUUUUUUGGUCUUUUCUAGGGCUGCACCUACUGCAUAUGGAGGUUCCCAGGCUGAGUCAAAUCAGAGCUGUAGCCUUCGGCCUACGCCAGAGACAGCAAUGUGGUAUCCGAGCCGCAUCUGCAACCUACACCACAGCUCACAGCAACGCCAGAUCCUUAACCCACUGAGUGAGGCCAGGCAUCAAACCCUCAACCUCAUGGUUCCUAGUCGGAUUCGUUAACCAUUGAGCCACGACAGGAACUCUGUAAUCCCCGUAUGAAAGAUGAGGAGAUUGAACCCUGCUGGUCUCAUGUCCUCACAAAGUCACCGCAGUACCUGUGUCUUCAGAGCUAGAGCCCAGAUUUUGUUAGCUCUAAACCCCAUACUUUUAACUACUACAAAGUGACUAGAAUUCCUAUUCAAAAACUCAUACUGCUUUUGCCUUUGGAGAAAGAGAAUGAGACAGAAAGAGAAUAAAUAACAUUUAAGUGAAUGAAAUGAGAAAACUACCUACCUUUGAAAGGAAUGGACAUUUAACAGACAAAUGUUUGUCUUAUUAAAAGCUGCAUGCUUUAGUGAUGAGCUCUUAAGUAACAAUCGGUUCCUGUACUUACUAUCACCUGAGUACAGCCCAAUCCAUCUAGGCAAACACACUAUAUAAUCUCUUUAUCCAUCUGCUAUGAAGACUGCUGGCCACAGUCCAGCAUCCUUGCCCUAUGGAAGCUCCUUCCCCCAUGCCUGCCUCCCAGGGCAAUUUUUUAUAUCCAGCAAUAAAUCACUUCCAAUCUAAGAGACAGUGACACUACAUCUACCAAAUAAUUCAGGUCUUCCAAAAUCUCUUAACAGAGCUUGAUGACGCAGCCGGUAGUAGCAGCCUUGCAGAUUUUACUACCAUUACUGCGACAAUGUCUAGUACUGAAUACACAAAGCACUUGCAGUGUCCCAGGCACUGUUCCAAGCACUUGAAACGGACUCAUGUAUUAAGCUGUUAAUCCUCAAGGCCCUACAAGGUCAGCUCUAUAAUUACUUUUAUUUUACAGAUCAAGAAACUGAGGCACAAAGAAAUGAAGCAAUCAGCCAAGGUCCCAUAGCCAGUAGGUGGCAGAGCUGGGAUUCAAACCCAAGGUAGCAUGAUUUGGAGUUGACACUCUUUAGCACAUCUCUCACUGCCACUCCAUCCCAGGUCAAAUAAAAACAUUUAAAUGUGAAAAUCAAUUGUGCAUAGCCAGGUUUAUCUGUGUUAUUAACAGCAGAAGAUCUGUCUCUAAUUUGUAACUAAUUAGAAAAAGACUGGGAAGAAGAAACUACUGAUGGAAGUAAGAAAACAAUUUUCUGAAAAUGCAUUGUUAUUUCUUACUCUAAAAAGUGAAUAAGAAAUAUCUAGAAUGCUUAGAGAUGGUGGGGGGCUUCCAACUUUUACCUUCAUGGUAAAGGGCAGGUAGGGACCCCCUUCUGUUUUGUACUCCAAGAGCCUGAAACUUUUUGGACAAUGUUAAAUACAACUCAGCUUUUUAUGACUCAGCUUUUCCUUGAAGGGCGAGGCUCUUUCCAAAAUGAAAGCUUAUAAACCUGAAGAACCAUUUUCACAAAUGGAAAAAGUCAUAGUUUCAUUACUAAUAAUCCAUAUCUAUCCCUCUACAGAGACCAUGGCCUCCGUAACAUGUUCAAGCUGAAUCUGAGCACAGACCAAUGAUGGCAAACACAUGGUAUGCUCCCUACUUCUCACUCGGAGCCCUCUUCCCCCUUGUGGGAAUUGACCGUUUUCCCUUUCCCCAUGGAGAGCAUCCUUCUCAACAGAAGGAUGGGGCAUUAUCUUGGCUAACAAUAGACAGUCAAGCAGCCAAUAGCAAGGGGUCAAAGACAUAAGACCUCCUUCCAUCAUUUAACCCUCAUCAUUAACAGCCCAGCCCAGCAUUAGGAAAGGCCUCCUUUAUCACCAACAGUUCAAUGAAUCUAGAAGUGGACUGGAGUCCUCUCUCUGGCCAGCAUCUCAGGCUGACUUAUGCUCCUUUAACAAUAAAAAAUUUAUUAGCUCACAUAAAAUCAAGUCCAGUGGAAGGGUGGGCUUCAGGGCUGGUUGACUCAACAGCUCAAGGAGAUCCACAAGGAUCCAGAUUCUUCCCUUCCUUUCUGGGCUACCCUUGUCAGGCUGGCCUCAGGACAGCUACAGCACUUAUGGCGGCAUAUCCACAGCAAGUAGAGACCACAGCUUCCCAGCCUUCAAGGCAAGAUGCAGCUUUCCAUGGGAGGGCCCAGCAGGCAUAUCUGCCUACUCCACUGGACAGACUCAGAUCACAUGGCCAGUCCUAAACCAAUCACUACUAAAGGAUGUAAACCAAAUAAAACCUACUAGAGAAUUAGGGUAUGGCUUUUCCCCAGCGACCUGGCUUCAUAGAGGAGGGUGAACACCUGGAUAAAACUGAGGCUAAAUAAGGAAGACAACGGAUGCUGCCAAGGCAUCAAACAACAUCCACAGCAGGCCUUCUAGCUGAGGCAAAAUGCAGACCGGAGACCAAAAUUGCCACCCAGAUGACAAACCAGGCCAAAAGACAAUUACUUCUGCCUUUAAGGUGUAAUAAAAACUGAAGUCAUUAGCAAAAUUUAAAAUUGGGAGUAAUAAGGUGAAUUUAAGAUCUCUAGUUAUCUUUUUUUCUUUUUCUUUUUUUAGGGCCACACCCUCGGCAUAUGGAAGUUCCCGAGCUAGGGGUGGAAUUAGAACUCCAGCUUCCUGCCAUGGCCAGACACAGCCACACCAAAUUUGGGCCAAUUCCGAGACCUACCCUGCAGCUUGCAGCAACACCAGAUCCUUAACCUACUGAG